AGGCAGAGGCUUUAACCCACUGAACCACCCAGGCACCCCUCCUCCUAUGUUUUCUUUUUCAUAGAGUUUUCAGUUUCAAUGACCACAGAUUCUAUUUCUCAAUUUAAUCAAUUUAGUUCUAUUAUACAACCUUUUUGGUGGUCUAAUCGUUUCACUUGCGGCAGAUUAUUUCUGUGAAAAGUUUGUAAUUUGAAGUUAUGAACUUAGUUGGGCCUAAUUUAUGUGGGGACCCUAAGCAGCCUAAAUGUGUCCCUUCAGAGGAGUCCCAUUCCCCCUGGUCUCCUUGUACAUUAAUUUCCCGGAGACUACAAAGAAUAAUAUAACUCAGACCUCAAAACGGAAGGGGGCAGGCAAGAGUUACAACCUCACAGGGGGUUUUCUACAGAGAGGCCACCACAAAGCUUUAUGAAAAUUGCUUAGAUUUUUUAAAAAAUGCAAUAAGAAUUAUGAAAAUCCAUUCCUUACUAAGGUGUUUGAGCGCUACAUGCCAUUCACUGAGCGAGCCGCUGUUACUGUUCUUGUGACACAGAUGAGGGACCAAAAGCCAUCAAGAGUAAGUAACGUAAAGGGUCCGAAGUCAUGCAGGCUGGACCGUAGAGGACCUGGGACUCGGACCAUGGCAGUGGGCAUGGGACCCAAGCAGGACAAGUGACAAUCCUGCCCUGGGUUUUUUUUUUUUUUUUUUUAAGAUUUUAUUUAUUUAUUUGACAGAGAGAGAGGAAGACCACACAAGCAGGAAGAGGGAGAAGCAGGCUCCCCACUGACCAGGGAGCCUGAUGUGGCACUUGAUCUCAGGACCCUGGGACCAUGACCUGAGCCAAACAAGGGCAGAUGCUUCACGACUGAGGCCCCCAGACAUCACUUGUGCUGGGAUUUUACCUUUUACAACUGUUUCUCCACUCUACACUCUUCAUAGUUACAUAAGAGCCAUGAACUCAAUAGCUACUGGUGACCAAGAUUCCAACCUUAAGAAGAGAGCAGCAGUGGGGGAAGAACAGAUGCGGGGAACAGAAGAGGUUUUGAAGGGUAAGUCCCUAAACGUGCCCUGAAAUCUGAAAGCACUUCAGUUUUUCUUGAUUUUGGUUUCAAGAGCCAAUAGAUUUCCCUUCUCGGUUGAGAGGCCACCUACUGGACAGGUGGAAGGUUUGUCCUUGGAGCAGGUGUCGGGAUUAAAAUCCCAGCUCAGCCUCCAAAUACCCACGUGGCCUGGAAAAGCUUCUUACCUUUCCCUCUGUCUUUCCUAUGUCUCCAGAACACCAUGCCACACUCUGCCAGGCUGGGGACGAUGGUUGGCAUUGUGUCAUUCCCCCCUUUAUUCUGGCCACGUGCCAGGUCCUGUUUCAGUUGCUGGACACGAGGCAAGCACUUGCCUUCGCAGCUCAAAGGUUGGCUCCUGGCCUUCUGGGCCAUUGUGCAGGCUAGAUGAGCUCAGUGAAUAUGAAAUGCUUACCAUAGGCCUGGUACACAAUGAACACAGUUUUUAUUAACAUCAUAAACCUAAUUCUGAUUUGGUUUCUGUCAUCUCCAGAGUGCCUUCUAAUGAACAUUCUUCAUAUAGAGUGAUGUGAAGGGAUGACUGAUCUUUGUUAUAUACUCUUAGAGCAUUAGAUUUUAAAUAUUUUAACUGUGAAAUUAAGGGCAGAAAUAUCUGCCUAAUUAAUUUCACAUUUAGGAUUCCAAUUACUUUUUCUUUCAAGAGCAUGUGUUUUACCCACGAGUUUACUCUUCCCUGCAAAGGUCACUGACAAUUCAAGAACUCUGCGGGUUUUUUGUUGUUAUGGUAAAUAAUACAUAACAGCAAAGUCACCAUCCUAACCAUUUUUAAGUGUACAAUACAGUAGUGUUAUUAUUUUGAAAUAAUAAAUCCAUCCCUGUGUUGGAAGACAGACACAAGCCUUGCAGGCGGAACAACCGGUUAGGGGCCUCUGGCGGAGGGGAAGAUGUGGUCCAUAUACAGAUGGAGUAUGACGCCUCCAUCAGAAAGGAUGAAUACCCAACUUUUGUAGCAACAUGGACAGGACUGGAGGAGAUUAUGAAGAAGAAGAAGACCGCGAAGCCCACCGGGCCGCAAGCGCGCUGCUGCUGGAAGAAAGACGCCUCCGCUGCGGUCCGCUCCGACUGGCCUGGGGCACCAGCUGCUCCCUGUGUGGAGUGGAGGGGGCUGGAGAGCCCGCGGGGCCAGGGAAGGAGCCCGUCCCCGAGAGAGGUCUCAGCCCCCUUGUCGCCUUCCUCGGUGGCAGGGCAGGGCCGGCCCAUCCGCCCUAACCCGCAGCCUCCCACCUGCCCGGGCCUGCCCUCCAGCGUCAAGGCAAGCGCUUCUUGGGGUGAACGUCCCUCCUCUUUCUUUUCGUUCUGCGUGAGAGUCGCUGCAGGAAAACACUGCGUUUGGGGGCUCGGUCUGCUGAGGGUCCCACUCUGGGUCCGGCUCAGGUCGCGAUCUCGGGGUGGUGAGAUCCCGCCGGGUCAGGCUCUGUCCUGGGGGCGGAGCCUGCUUGGGAUUCUCCCUCUCUCCCCUGCCUCGUCCCCCACCAAAAUAAAUAAACUUAUUUAAAAAAAAAAAAAAAGAAAAUACCACAUUUUGCCUAUCAAUUAAUCUGUUGAGAUGUACACUUUUUUACAGUUCGGAAGGAUCGUGAACAGAACCGCUAGGAACACUUGCAUGAAGCGUCUGCGUGGCUUUUGGUUCUCUUGGGUGGAGACAGAGUGGCUAAGUCUUACCGUAGACCCACGCUCACUUUUUAAGAAACUGGCAAGCAGUUUUCCAGAAUGCCAUUUUAAUGGAUGGUAGCAGUAUCUCCUUGUCGUUUAAAUCAGCAUUUCCCUGAUGAUGUCGAGCCUCUUCUGGCAUGCUUGUAGACCAUUCACACGUCUUCUUUGGUGACAUGUCUGUUCGAGUCUAUUCUCCCGUUUUUAAAAAACUAAGUAGUUUGACUUACCGAAAUGUAGUAGUAUCUCUAUAUAUUCUGGACGCAAGCUUUUUUGCCUAACGUUCUCCAAUUUUGUUGCUUGCCUUUUCAAAGGCAUUUUCUUUCAAAGAAUAAAAAGCUUUCAUUAUUAUAGAA